UUUAGAGCAAUUCAAACGAGGUACAGCCCAUUUGACACAGGAUACAACCUUUACUACUGGGUAAUAUUUAACUAACAUCGUUAAGUGGGCCUAACAGCAGCCAUCUUUCAAAAAGCGUCAAAGCUUAACCACAUCAUCUCAAUCUAAAAACUCACAUUGACCCCUUUAACUAUAUUGAGAGCUUCUAUACUCAUAUAGAACCCCUAAUGCUAAAACUAGUAACAAGAGUAAACCUCUCUCUUAAAUGCAAGUAUAAGCCAGCUAGGACCCGGCACUGGCACUUAAUAGACCUCAAGUAGUAACCCCACUAGAAAACUCUGCUUUACCCCAUCGUUAACCUAGUACCAGAGCAUUCCAAGAAAGAUUAAAAGAGAAAAAAGGAACUCGGCAAAUUCUAACCCCGCCUGUUUACCAAAAACAUCGCCUCUUGACCCCAUAAGAGGUCCAGCCUGCCCAGUGACUCUGUUCAACGGCCGCGGUAUCCUGACCGUGCAAAGGUAGCGCAAUCACUUGUCUUAUAAAUGAAGACUAGUAUGAAAGGCACCACGAGGACUAAACUGUCUCCUCU
rnacentral:rRNA from 1 species